rnacentral:rRNA from 1 species
UGGGGAAUCUUGGACAAUGGGGGCAACCCUGAUCCAGCCAUGCCGCGUGAGCGAAGAAGGCCUUAGGGUUGUAAAGCUCUUUCGCCAGGGAUGAUAAUGACAGUACCUGGUAAAGAAGCCCCGGCUAACUUCGUGCCAGCAGCCCCGGUAAUACGAAGGGGGCUAGCGUUGUUCGGAAUUACUGGGCGUAAAGCGCGCGUAGGCGGACUUUUAAGCCAGAUGUGAAAUCCCGGGGCUCAACCCCGGAACUGCAUUUGGAACUGGAAGUCUAGAGACCAGGAGAGGUGAGCGGAAUACCGAGUGUAGAGGUGAAAUUCGUAGAUAUUCGGUGGAACACCAGUGGCGAAGGCGGCUCACUGGACUGGUACUGACGCUGAGGUGCGAAAGCGUGGGGAGCAAACAGGAUUAGAUACCCGUGUAGUCC